rnacentral:rRNA from 1 species
GAUGAACGCUGGCGGCGUGCCUAAUACAUGCAAGUCGAGCGAAUGGAUUGAGAGCUUGCUCUUAUGAAGUUAGCGGCGGACGGGUGAGUAACACGUGGUAACCUGCCCAUAAGACUGGGAUAACUCCGGGAAACCGGGGCUAAUACCGGAUAACAUUUUGAACCGCAUGGUUCGAAAUUGAAAGGCGGCUUCGGCUGUCACUUAUGGAUGGACCCGCGUCGCAUUAGCUAGUGGGUGAGGUAACGGCUCACCAAGGCAACGAUGCGUAGCCGACCUGAGGGGGUGAUCGGCCACACUGGGACUGAGACACGGCCCAGACUCCUACGGGAGGCAGCAGUAGGGAAUCUUCCGCAAUGGACGAAAGUCUGACGGAGCAACGCCGCGUGAGUGAUGAAGGCUUUCGGGUCGUAAAACUCUGUUGUUAGGGAAGAACAAGUGCUAGUUGAAUAAGCUGGCACCUUGACGGUACCUAACCAGAAAGCCGCGGCUAACUACGUGCCAGCCGCCGCAGUAA